rnacentral:rRNA from 1 species
CCUACGGGAGGCAGCAGUGGGGAAUAUUGCACAAUGGGGGAAACCCUGAUGCAGCGACGCCGCGUGAGGGAUGAAGGAUUUCGGUAUGGAAAGCUCUAUCAGCAGGGAAGAAAAUGACGGUACCUGACCAAGAAGCCACGGCUAACUACGUGCCAGCAGCCGCGGUAAUACGUAGGGGGCAAGCGUUAUCCGGAUUUACUGGGUGUAAAGGGAGCGUAGACGGGUGUGCAAGUCAGUUGUGAAAGCCUGGGGCUCAACCCCGGGACUGCAUUUGAAACUGUGAUGCUAGAGUGUCGUAGAGGUAGGCGGAAUUCCUGGUGUAGCGGUGAAAUGCGUAGAUAUUAGGAGGAACACCAGUGGCGAAGGCAGCCUACUAGACGGUGACUGACGUUGAGGCUCGAAAGCGUGGGGAGCAAACAGGAUUAGAUACCCGGGUAGUC